CCUACGGGGGGCUGCAGUGGGGAAUAUUGGACAAUGGGGGGAACCCUGAUCCAGCCAUGCCGCGUGUGUGAAGAAGGCCCUCGGGUUGUAAAGCACUUUCAGUGAGGAAGAACGCCUGGUGGUUAAUACCCAUCAGGAAAGACAUCACUCACAGAAGAAGCACCGGCUAACUCCGUGCCAGCAGCCGCGGUAAUACGGAGGGUGCGAGCGUUAAUCGGAAUUACUGGGCGUAAAGCGCGCGUAGGUGGCUUGAUAAGCCGGUUGUGAAAGCCCCGGGCUCAACCUGGGAACGGCAUCCGGAACUGUCAAGCUAGAGUGCAGGAGAGGAAGGUAGAAUUCCCGGUGUAGCGGUGAAAUGCGUAGAGAUCGGGAGGAAUACCAGUGGCGAAGGCGGCCUUCUGGACUGACACUGACACUGAGGUGCGAAAGCGUGGGUAGCAAACAGGAUUAGAUACCUUUGUAGUC
rnacentral:rRNA from 1 species